rnacentral:rRNA from 1 species
GACGAACGCUGGCGGCGUGCCUAACACAUGCAAGUCAAACGGAGAUACGAUUUCGGUUGUAUCUUAGUGGCGAACGGGUGAGUAACGCGUGAACAACCUGACUCUUAGAGGGGGAUAACACUCGGAAACGGGUGCUAAUACCGCAUAAGACCACGACCCGGCAUCGGGAUGAGGUCAAAGGAGCAAUCCGCUGAGAGAGGGGUUCGCGUCCCAUUAGAUAGAUGGCGGGGUAACGGCCCACCAUGUCGACGAUGGGUAGCCGAGCUGAGAGGCUGAUCGGCCACGCUAGAACUCAGACACGCGCCAGACUCCUACGGGAGGCAGCAGUGGGCACUAUUGGGCAAUGGGCGCAAGCCUGACCCAGCAACGCCGCGUGAGGGAAGAAGGCUUUCGGGCUGUAAACCACUGUCCUUGGUGACGAAACAAAUGACGGUAGCCAAGGAGGAAGCCCCGGCUAACUACGUGCCAGCCGCCGCGGUAA